rnacentral:rRNA from 1 species
GGUUUGAUUCUGGCUCAGAUUGAACGACUGGCGGGAUGCUUGCAUUUAAGUCGAACGGCAGCACGGACUUUCGGUCUGGGUGGCGAGUGGCGAACAGGUGAAGUAAUGUAUCGGGGCCGAUGCCUAGUAGCGGGGGAUAACUGCGAAAGCGUAGCUAAUACCACAUACGCCCUUCGGGGAAAGCGGGGGACCUUCGGGCCUCGCACUAUUAGAGCGACCCGAUAUCGGAUUAGUUGGUAGGGUAACGGCUCACCAAGGCGACGAUCAUGUGGUUUGAGAGGACGACCGACCACACUGGGACUGAGACUGGCGAACUCUGCAGAGGAGGCAGGCAGUAGAGGAAUUUUGGACAAUGGGGGAAACCUGAUCCAGCCAUCCCGCGUGUGCGAUGAAGGCCUUCAGGUUGUAAAGCACUUUUGGCAGGAAAGAAACGGCACGGGAUAAUACGUGCAACUGACGGUACCUACAGAAUAAGCACCGGCUAACUACGUGCCAGCAGCCGCGGUAAUACGUAGGGUGCAAGCGUUAAUCGGAAUUACUGGGCGUAAAGCGUGCGCAGGCGGUUCGGAAGAAGAAGAUGUAGAAAUCCCAGAGCUUAACUUUGGAACUGCAUUUUUAACUACGCUCGGCUAGAGUGUGUCAGGAAAUUGGAAUUCCGCGAUGUAGCAGUGAAAUGCGUGAAAAAUGUGCGGGGGAACACCGAUAGCGAGGCAGCCCCUCCUGGGAUAACACUGACGCUCGUACUGAAAACGUGGGGAGCAGACGGGAUUCAGAUGCCACUGUGGUAGUCCACGCCCUAAACGAUGUCAACUAGCUGUUGGGGCCUUCGGGCCUUGGUAGCGCAAUAACGCGUGAAGUUGACCGCCUGCUGGGAAAUUACAGUCGCAAGAUUAAAACUCAAAGGAAUUGACGGGGACCCGCACAAGCGGUGGAUGAUGUGGAUUAAUUCGAUGCAACGCGAAAAACCUUACCUACCCUUGACAUGUCUGGAAUCCCGAAAGGGUGGGAGUGCUCGCAAGAGAACCGGAACACAGGUGCGUAUCAGUGGCUCAGCGCCGAGAUGUUGGGUUAAGUCCUGGCGCAGAGGCGCAACCACGCCGUCAUUAGUUGCUACGAAAGGAGCUUGCUCUAAGUAAGGACUGCCGGUGACGGAAGGUGGGGAUGACGUCAGAUCCUCGCGGCCCCUUAUGGGUAGGGCUUCACACCACGUCAUACUGUGGGUGGGACAGAGGAGUCGCCAACCCGCGAGGGGGAGCCAAUCCCAGAAACCCGAUCGUAGUCCGGAUCUGGUCUGCUCGACUGCAGUAGAGUCAGAAUCGCUAGUAAUCGCGGAUCAACGUAUCGCCGGUGAAUACGUUCCCGGGUCUUGUACACACCGCCAGUCGCGCAGUUCGGGUUUUGCCAGAAGUAGUUAGCUCACUCCCAUGGAGGCGAUUACCUGGUAGGAUUCGGCUGGGGUGAAGUCGUGGCUAAAGGUAUU